rnacentral:rRNA from 1 species
GACGAACGCUGGCGGCGUGCUUAACACAUGCAAGUCGAACGGAAAGGCCCUUUUUGCAGUGUACGCGUGUCGAACACGGGAGUGAAACGUGAGUGUCCUGUCCUCGGCAUCGCGGUAUAAUCCGGAAACACUGGCUCUUAUACGAUAGGGGUCCUUGCUGCAUGGUGGGGGUUGGAAAGCUUCGUCGGUGUUGGAUGAACUCGCGGCCUAUCAGCUUGUUGGUGGGGUAGUGGCCUACCAAGGCGUUGACGGGUAGCCGGCCUGAGAGGGUGACCGGCCACAUUGGGACUGAGAUACGGCCCAGACUCCUACGGGAGGCAGCAGUGGGGAAUAUUGCACAAUGGGCGGAAGCCUGAUGCAGCGACGCCGCGUGCGGGAGGACGGCCUUCGGGUUGUAAACCGCUUUCGCCAGGGGCGAAGCUUUUUGUGACGGUACCUGGAUAAGAAGCACCGGCUAACUACGUG